UACGCUUUUAAAAUUUUUAAAAAGUAUAAAUAAAUAAAAAUAAUAGUAGUUGCAAAAAAAAAGUUUUCAAAAAAAAAUUAAUACGAUAAACAAAACACUAAACUCUAAAUCUAAACUCUAAACCCUUUGGUAAACCCUAAACCUUUUGAUAAAUUUUAAAUUCUUGAAUUUAAAAAAAAUAUUUUUAACACAAUCAACAAAACACUAAACCCUAAAUCCUAAUCCUAAACCCUAAACCCUUGGGUAAACCCUAAACCCUUGGGUAAACCCUAAACCCUUAGAUAAAUCCGAAACUCUUGGAUCAAAUUUUAAACUUUAAGAUUUAUGAUUUAUUUAAGAGUUUAGAGUUUAUCUAAAGGUUUAGGGUUUAGGGUUUAAUAAUUGUUGGCAGCGUUAAAAAUACUUUUGAAAAACAAAUUCUUUUUUUUUGCGAUUAAAAUAUCUUCUUUUUGUGAUUAAUACAAUUUUUGUUUUAAAAAUAUAAUAUAAUUCGAUAAUAUUUUGUUUCCUUUUUUAAAAGAUACUGAAUCUAAAAUGACACAAUCUUAUUGGUUGGUGAACCUGUACCUAGGGGGUGAACCCAAGAAUGUGUCUUAAUUUACCUCAAAACCUCCUCCUUUUUAGUCGCAAAUUUCUAAACCUAUAAAUAUGAAUGAAGACAACACCAAAUCUCAUCGCUCUCUCUCUUUUUUUUUCUGUCAAUAAUCUCAUUGCUCUCUCUACUUCUUCGGUUUCUUUAGCUUUCAAACAAGGGUGAAGAGAAUGCUAUUGCCGAUCUCAUGUUUCUCAGUUGAAGACCGGUCAUUAAAGGCAGACAGUUGUUAGGCGUCCACUUUGUUUUGGCGAGGCACGAGGUGCGAAAAGAGAAGGGAGCUCAUGCGGGAUGAAAAAGUACGCCUGCAAAUUUUUCUACUUCGUUUUGAUUAUCAGACUAAACUCAAACUCAUACACUCAACCAUCUCCCUGAUUCCUCUUGCUCUUAUCGUCGACUCCAUCUUGAAGCCUUCUUGGAAGAUUGGGAGCCAACAAUUCUAUUAAUAAUUACACAAACUCUUGUCUGAGACGAGCCUAUGAAUUGAUUGUCUGUUUUUUUAUGUUCUGGCUCUGCGUUUGAUGAGGGAGAAGAUAAAAUGGGUUUAAAUUAUCUUGAAAAACAAACCCCUUUAUUUCGGUUUAAUAUAGAAACUGAAACCAUACCUUCACCAGCAGGGUACUCAACAACAUUUGCAGAAAGAGUUUGUGGGAAUCCUUGGUAGACAAUCUUUUGAGAGAGUUGGCAGUGUGAUUAAAUCUUUCCGCCGUAAAUUUGGAUUUGUGAGUCUGUAAUUUCCUAACGUCUAACUAACUGGAAAGUAAAUUUUACACCAAAAAAAAAAAAAAAAAAAAAAAAACUGGAAAGUAAAUUAUAUGGUGAACUAAAGAGAUGAGAACAGUUUCCAGUACUGUUGAAUGGAAAUGAUGUAAAUCAAAGCUACCUGCCUACCUUCUCGACCUGUUUUUUUUUUUGUGUUGAACCUGGUGAGUUUAUGAGCACAGAGCACUUGCUGAGUUCCUCUACGUUUACGUUCUUUGGAGUUUUCAAGUGUGUCUCCUGCUCUAUGUAUACGAUUUUGUCUUCACCAUAUUCGGUAAAGAGUAUGUAUUGUUAUUUUUCUUCUGUAAAUUUUAACUUAAUUAGUCUUCAGAUGCUAUAGAUGUAGAUGUCGAUGAAGUAUUUGUGUUAGUGUGACUUUGAUGUUCCAAGGCUUUUGGGAAUGUAUGUGGUUUCAAAACUUUGUGGUUGCUGGACAUUUCUAAUGAGCCUCACAAAUGGGUACAAAAGUUAUGUGGGAAUUAAAGCUAACUCCAAGUAGAUCAAUACUAUUAAAACGGAAGGAGUUUUAAUAAAUCUACUUAAAAAAGUUGUUUGAACCCUUUCUAUAACUAACAAUACUAGGUGGACCGCCCGCACGCAUGUGCGGAUAUUAACAUUAAUGUUAAAUUGAUAAUUACAUAUUUACAACUAUAUAAUACCUAUGUUACAUGUAUAUGGUUAAUAUGAAAGAUUCGAUGUUACAUAUUGAUAUUUAUAUUAUGUUCAUAUGAACAAAGAAUACAUUAGAAUGUUUAGAAAACGAUCACAUUUAACACUACUUAAAACAUCAGAAAAAUAUAAUUGAGAAAAAACAAAUAUUUCACGCAUAACCCCAAUAAAAAAAUCAGCCAU